AACCUGGUCGGACAAUCUCCGGAUUCUAAUUUCAUAUGAUAAUGGUUCUCAACUGUCUUGUUUUGAACUGUUUUUCUUGAUCAUUUUUGUUUUGUUUUGUUUUUUACUUUUCAGGGAGUGUCUAGCUCCCAACAGUUUGGUUUUUUUUUUCAACCCAGGAACUCCCAGCACUUUGCAAGAGGAUUAAGUUAAAGGCCAGCCUGGGCUACAAUAGCAAGCUCAAGGACAACCUGGACUACAUAGUGAGACUUCGUCUCUCAAAAUAAAACUAGUAAAAAUAAAGCAUGAUCAAGAGGUAAGAAAAGAGAAACCUUUCCUCUGUUCCACUAGGUCUGCUAGAGUAGAGGUGGAAAGCAGGGAGCAAGUACACAGGCAAAAGGCAAGCUGUCCAGUGCUUAACCCAUGUCCCUGAUUGACACAAAAAGGGAGUUGAGAGAAACAUAAGUCUGGAUCAGAACAAAAUGAAGCUCACAAUACCUUUU